UAWUWUUAAGCGGAGGAAAAGAAACUAACAAAGAUUGACAUAGUAAGGGCGACUGAAAUGUCACAAGCUCAGCAUGUGAAUCAGCGUCGACUUUCGUAUGCGCUGAAUUGUGAUCUUCUGGUUGUUGCACCACUCUGGCCAGUCCAUGUUUUUUGGAAUAAAACAGCAAAGAGGGUGAAACUCCUGUUUGACUGGCCUUACGAAGCAACAGCUAUUGAGUCGAGUUGUUUGGGAUUGCAGCUCAAAUGCGGUGGUAAAUUCCAUCUCAAGCUAAAUAUUGGCGGGAGACCAAUAGCGAACAAGUACCGUGAGGGAAAGAUGAAAAGAACUUUGAAAAGAGAGUGAAAGAGUACCUGAAAUUGCUGAAAAGGAAGCGAACGAAGCUAGUGACAGCUUUGUCAUACUUUCCCAAUUGCUUGCAGUUGGGACGCUGUGGCGAGCCCAGUCCGCCUUGAUUGCAAAUGGUGAAAAAAGCAAAGAAACGUUCCUAGUUCCUUUUGCCUUGUGCACCAAUUGCAAUUGAGUUGAACCAAAUAGCUUUGUUUGUCCCGUCUAGAAACACGGACCAAGGAGUCUAACAUAUGUGCGAGUACUGGGGUAGCCAACCUUGGUGCGCAAUGAAAGUGUCAGAGGCUGGAAGCGUGCGAACGCUUUGCACAGUCCGCCGGCCUCAAUCCCUCGGGAAAAUGGUCUGAGUGUGAGCAUACAUGUUGGGACCCGAAAGAUGGUGAACUAUGCUUGAGUAGGGUGAAGCCAGGGGAAACUUUGGUGAAGGCUCGCAGCGAUUCUGACGUGCAAAUCGAUCGUCAAACUUGAGUAUAGGGGCGAAAGACUAAUCGAACUAUCUAGUAGCUGGUUCCCUCCGAAAUUUCCCUUAGGAUAGCUGCAAUCUUUUCCAGCCAGUUUUGUCA
rnacentral:rRNA from 1 species